rnacentral:rRNA from 1 species
CCCUGCCCUUUGUACACACCGCCUUUGUCGCUCCUACCGAUUGAGUGUGUUGGUGAGGAGUUUGGAUUGGCGUCAGAGAGUGGUUUGCCGCUGUCUGAGGCUGAGAAGUUCUCCGAACCGCCCCACUUAGAGGAAGGAGAAGUCGUAACA